rnacentral:tRNA from 1 species
GGCCCCAUAGUCUAGUGGUUACGACAUUGGACCUUUGAAUCCAAGAGCCCGAGUUCGAAUCUCGGUGGGGCCU